rnacentral:rRNA from 1 species
UACGUAGGGACCAAGCGUUGUCCGGAAUCAUUGGGCGUAAAGAGCGUGUAGGCGGCUUGUUAAGUCUUGCGUGAAAUCUCGGGGCUCAACCCCGAGCGGUCGUGAGAAACUGGCAGGCUAGAGUGCGGGAGAGGAGAGUGGAAUUCCUGGUGUAGCGGUGAAAUGCGCAGAUAUCAGGAAGAACCCCCGUGGCGAAGGCGGCUCUCUGGAACGCAACUGACGCUGAGACGCGAAAGCGUGGGGAGCAAACAGG